GCGCUAAGGACGCUGGUAACAAGGAAACACCGCGAGAUGAUCUCCUUCUCGCGAGAACUGCGCCACGGCCGAGCGGCAGCUGUCCGGGACGCCUCACACUGAAAGGCAAGGUGCGGACAGUGAAGGCAAAUAAAAAAGCAUUCAUGUAACACUGUGAGAUCUCAGCUAAUGGAGUUAGUGAUACCCUUUCUACCUGGGUUAAGGAGCAAUGUCCAACUGUAUAAAGAUUACUAGAUGAAAAUACUGAUACACAAAGUUUGAAGAACUUGGUCACAGACAUACUGCUGCUUCUUGCUGAUGUGCCUGGGAAAGCAGUAGAAGAUGGCCAAGUGCUUGGGCCCCUACACCCACAUGGGAGACCUGGAAGAAGCUCCUGCGUCCUGGCUUUGGCCUUUGCAGCCAUUUGAGGAGUGAACCAGAGUAUUGUUACUAUGAUGACUCAGAAUGGCUGUUUGUCAAACAGAUGAUAGAAUGAGAGAAUGAAGACUUAAAUAUAAGAAAAAAGAGAAAACUACUAAGUCUGGAAUGUUAUUCCCUUGAAGAACUAGAAGACAAUGAAGCAAUGUCUAUGUCAUAGGCAAGGUAAGGGAAUGAUAUACACAGCUAAGUCAUACUUCAAGUGAAAUUUUAAUAGGUUUUUUUUUUUUUUGGUUAUGCUAGUACUCAAGGGUUAUUUCUCACAAAAGUCCUGGUUGAGGAAAUUGCUUGCAGGUGAACCUCAAUUAAACAAGUAGCUGGGAAGCAAUAACAAAAUCCUGAAUUUUGAAUUAAUUUUAUUUAGAAAAAAGAUGAAAGGAAUUAUGGAGAUGGACAUGAAGAAAUAAGUAUAAAUUUAUAUGUCUAAUAAUGGGAAAUGUUAUUCACUUACAGAAUGAGAAAGGAAAAGAUGAGAAGUUGAAAAAAUUUUUUAUCAUUCCAAAUUUGAAAAAUGAACUAAUAGAUUUAAAAUAAGAGUAAAAUAACGUUUACUACAUAUACUUAUAAAGGUAUACUAUAUCAUCUUUUGUUAAAUUGGCAUUACUGCUACUGUCUAAAUCUGGAAACUAUUUCCCAGAUUCCUCUUUAUUCUAUGGAAUCUUGUUAGACUUGGUCGAAGAUAGGAACCCUGCACAGUUUGGAAGAGGUAAGCGAAACAAGGGAAAUUGAUUUGAAUGGCUAUGACGGUCAGACAUGAUAAGGAUGAAGUGGUACAAACAGACCUCAGCAAGUUUUUAUCCUCUUACUGUUCUGAGUUAAGGUUUCUCCUGAAUCCCUGGCCUGCUGAGCAACCCUGGCUCGGUGUGCACAAGCAGAGCAAGCCAGUGUUCACACAGAAAGCAGUUUCCUUCGACAUGCUCAGUGCAUUUCUUGAUAGAUGUGCACAACUCCUUGGAUUUGGUCACAACUUCAGGCUUUUGCAUCCAGGCCAGUGUGGUCAGUGACUGUUUCUCUAAUUUUUCUAUUCUUAAUCUGUAGAGCUUCACAUUUGAAGAAUUUCUAAUUUCUAAAUUAAGCCUCUUUCUGCCAUGGUACCUGUAAUGGCUUUAGUUUAUGAGUGACACGAGGAAUGAGUGUUAACCAAUGUAAUGUUUUUGACUUAACAAAAACAGGCAAAUGUCCUUUCAAAAGAAAAAAAUAGAGUGAUUACCUCAAUAUAAAACAAAUGUAAUUCAGAUCCCAAGCAUUAUAUUAGACAAGGAGGGUAAACUUCUCAUGCUAUAGGCUUCUCUUUAUAACCAAAUUUUAAUUUCUGAAUACAUGAGUGAUACUCAAAAUGUUAAUGAAAAAUCCAUACUAUGAAAAAACCAUGCAUGAAUUUCAAAAAUGUUUGCACCAAAAUACUCAUCGUUUAAUCCAUUUCUUAUGAACUUUUUGAAGUCAUUCAUAUAUGUACAAAAUAGCACAAUAGCAGCAUAAACUAGACUCUUUAAUAUUUAAAUCUUGACUUUUAAUUUUAGUGUCAAUACUUUUGGUAUUUUCCCAUUAAGGAAGAUGCUGGAUUUGGAUAAAAGAUAUACUAUUUUCAUGUUCAGGAAGUUUUCACUGUGUGAUUUAAGAAAAAACUAAAAUAGUUGUUGAAUUUUAUCAGAUGCCUCAUUAGUAUUUUUAAGAGACUAUGAAAGGAUUUUUCUUUUUGGGUUAUCACCAUGAUAAAUAUUUUUUUAACUUUUAUUUAAUGAAUAUAAAUUUCCAAAGUACAGCUUAUGGAUUACAAUGGCUUCCCCCCCAUAACGUCCCUCCCACCCACAACUCUCCCCUUUCUCACUCCCUCUCCCCUUCCAUUCACAUCAUGAUCAUUUUCAAUUCUCUUUAUAUACAGAAGAUCAGUUUAGCAUACAUUAAGUAAAGAUUUCAACAGUUUGCUCCCACACAGAAACAUAAAGUGAAAAAUACUGUUUGAGUACUAGUUAUAGCAUUAAAUCUCAAUGUACAGCACACUAAGGACAGAACUCCUACAUGAGGAGUAAGUGCACAGUGACUCCUGUUGUUGACUUAGCAAAUUGACACUCUUGUUUAUGGCCUCAGUAAUCAACCUAGGCUCUUGUCAUGAGCUGCCAAGGCUAUGGAAGCCCCCUGAGUUCACUGACUCUGAUCAUAUUUAGACAAGGCCAUGGUCAAAGUGGAAGUUCUCUCCUCCCUUCAGAGAAGGUACCUCCUUCUUUGAUGACCUGUUCUUUCCACUGGGAUCUCACUCGCAGAGAUCUUUCAUUUAGGUGGUUGUUUUUUUUUUUUUUUUUUUUUUUGCCAGAGUGUCUUGGCUUUCCAUGCCUGAAAUACUCUCAUGGGCUUUUCAGCCAGAUCCGCAUGCCUUAAGGGCUGAUUCUGAGGCCAGAGUGCUGUUUAGGACAUCUGCUAUUCUAUGGGUCUGCUGUGUAUCUCACUUCCCAUGUUGGAUCAUUCUCUCCCUUUUUGAUUCUAUCAGCUAGUAUUUGCAGACACUAUUCUUGUUUAUGUGAUCCCUUUGGUUCUUAGUCCUAUCAUUAUGAUCAACUGUGAACAGAAAUUGAUCACUGGGACUAGUGAGAUGGCAUUGGUACAUGCCACCUUGAUGGAAUUGAAUUGGAAUCCCCUGGUAUGUUUCUAACUCUACCGUUCGAGGUAAGUUGGCUUGAGCAUGUCCCGAAUUGCACACCAUGAUAAAUAUUGACCUAUCUGUACAUUUUUGGCGUUAAUCCCACAUUAAUCUUUUAACAUGAUGUCAAUUAUUUUCUGAAUAUCAUUUUAUGAAGCUUUUUUUCAUUAAUGUUUUUGGUCUGCAUUGCUGUUGACAUUGUUGUGUAAUCUGUUAAGUUUAGGAAUCAGUUUUAUGCUCCAUUCAUAUAAAUAUUUUAGAAUUAAAUAUUUUUAAAGAGGACUAAAAAUAUUGUAUUAUCUGGUCUGUACAAAUGACUGGAUCAUUUGGUUUUUGGAAGGAUAAGAGUAGUCUUUAAGGAAAUUGAUCAUUUUAUGUUCUCUUUCCUCCAGAGAGUUGUUAUUGAAUAUAAGCACUUGAAAACUAGAAGGAUGGUAGAAAAUGGUGAUGAAGAUUGCUAGAUAUGAUGUCCUUGGAUAUCUUGGAGCAAAAGAAAUUUUAUUUUCUUGUUCUGGGGGUACUACAAAUGUCAUUUUAAGUAAUAAUUUGUGGUAAAAGAAUUCUAUUUCAGUUGCCUAUAUUUAUGCCUUGAAAAAAAGUAAAAUGAAUUUUUUUUUUCUUUUUAUUUUUGACAGGCAGAGUGAACAGUGAGAGAGAGAGAGAGAGAGAAAGGUCUUCCUUUGCCGUUGGUUCACCCUCCAAUGGCUGCCAUGGCCGGCGUGCUGCGGCCGGCACACCGCGCUGAUCUGAUGGCAGGAGCCAGGUGCUUCUCCUGGUCUCCCAUGGGGUGCAGGGCCCAAGCACUUGGGCCAUCCUCCACUGCACUCCCUGGCCACAGCAGAGAGCUGGCCUGGAAGAGGGGCAACCGGGACAGAAUCCGGCGCCCUGACCAGGACUAGAACCUGGUGUGCCAGCGCCGCAAGGUGGAGGAUUAGCCUAUUGAGCCAUGGCGCCAGCCUUAAAAACUUUAAAAAAAAAAAAAAAAAACUUUUUCAAAAAACUUUUUUAAAAAAUAUUUUUAAAACAAAAAAAAAUGGGAAUGUAGUGAUAAAUGUUUAAAGUAGAAAGGAAUUUCAGAAAAAAUAUAUAAAGAUUAUGGUAAAAGGAAGUAAGAGGAGGAUGGGUAAGAAAAGUGAAAGAGCAGCAUGAAGAGCAAAACAGAAAAAAGGCAAAGCAAGUUAGACUUUAGACUACAAAUUAGACUACGAAUUGAAUAACACGGAAAGUUGAGAGCAUGGCACAGUUCUCAGAGGCCAAAUUCCAAGCAGACAGAAAAGUAAAAUUAUUUACACAUUGAUGCUGACUGAUUCAUCUCUUGGUGAUGCAAAUCUGGGGAUGCUAAGACAUGAUCAUGUUAUAUAUAAGCAGUUGACAGGAUAGAGGAUAUUUUAGAUUUUGUGAUUAGUAUGAUUAUGAUUAUGAUUAUUAUAUUUUUAGGAUAGAUGGAGUGAGUGGUUGUAUCACUGCUCGAGAUGCCUACCUCCCAAAUCAAGUGCCUGGUUUCAAGUCCUAGCUUCACUCCUUAUUCCAACUUUUCACUAAUGUGCACCUGGAGAAUCCAGGUACUUGGCUCCCUGCCACAGAUGUGUGAGACCUGAACUGAUUUUCUGGAUGCUGGCUUCUGCCUGGCCCAGCCCUGGUUGUUGCAGAUGGCUCAGGAAUGAACCAAUGGAUAGGAACUCUCUGUCUCUGUCUCUCUGCAUUUCAAAUACAUUAAAUAAGUAAAUUAAAAAAAAUGUAAAAAUAAAUAUUAGAACAGCUAAAAGCAAGUUACUAAAAUAAACUACAUUUGAUUUUUAAAAUUAAUUUCUCAAGCCUAAAUUUGAUUUCAAUGAUCUGAAUGAAAAAAUAAUAACUAAUAGUGUAGAAACUUGCCUCUUAGAUAGAGUAACAUAUUUUACUGAGAUUUAAAUUGGCUAGUUAAAUUUUCUCAUAAAACUUCGUUUACAUUUUGAGACUGUUGGUCAUUCUAAGAUCUUGGGCAUAUGAAAGUUGCAUUUUAAUGCUAGAAUAAUAUUUGAGUGAGAGUAAAACAAAUGUAGACUUUUAAAUGUGUGCUUUUUAGAUAGUAUUUAAAACUUUAAUUAGAAAUGUAACCCAGGGCUGACAGAUUUUAUUUGUUGGCCUUGAACAACAUGCAGGCAAUAAGUCUGCAUGAAGCUCAUAAACAUAUUGGAAGUGUGCCCUUUUCCUGCCUGCUGUGUGAGAGUCUUGAUGACUGGCAGUCUCACAAGCAUUAGACUGGGAAUAACAGACCAUCAUCUGGAUAUCUUAGUCACUUAUUAACAUCUCAACAAUUUAAAUUCUUCUUCUUUUUUUAAGAUGUAUUUAUUUGAAAGUCAGAGUUACAGAGGCAGAGGGAGAGAGAGGGAGAGAGAGAGAAAGAGAGAGAGAUCUAUCUACCAGUUCACUCCCCAGAUGGCUGCAACUUCUGGAGCUGUGCUGAUCUGAAGCCAGGAUCCAGGAGCUUCCUCUGGUUCUCCCACAUAGGUGCAGGGUCCCAAGGACUUGGGCCAGCUCCUACUGCUUUCCCAGGCCAUAGCAGAGAGCUGGAUCAGAAGUAGAGCAGCCAGGACUUGAAUGGGCGCUCAUAUGGGAUGCUGACACUGCAGGUGGUGGCUUUACCCGCUAUGCCACAAUGCUGGCCCCUGCACACUUCUUAAAAUAGCAUAUUAUGAUAGUUUUCUUUAAAGCUUCUAGAAUGAUAUAAGUAAACCUUAACAAUGAUUAUAUUUCUCAUUUGGAAGUUAUUUUGUAACUAAGUCAUUAGUGGCAUAAAUAAAAUAGAUUAAAAGUAUCAAUUAUAGUAAAUUGUAAAUUGUGUUUAUAGUCCAUUAGUGGAAAACUUAAAUGCAAUAAUUACUUAAUAGUGCUGAGUAACAUAUGCUCUCAUACUCAACAGAAUAGUGUUUAUUCCAUUCAAAAUUGAAAAAAAAAAGACUUUUUUGUGGUCUAAGUCAGCAAGCAAUUGUUUUAGGUUUCACAUUGACUGGCAUUUUCUGGGGUCAUGAGGAGCCACCUCAUCUUGCAGAUAUUGAUAUUACUGCUCUUUAGCCGUAGAAGAGACUUGGGACCAAACACAAAGUGACUUGAUUGAUAUCUUGUCCCAAACAACACUCUCAAACACUUAGAAAACUUUUCUUAGGCCUUUUCAGAAGGUGUGAGACUACUUGGUCAGUACAAUAUGCAUUUAGCCAAGAAGGGAUCAUUUUCUCCGUUAUAUAGAAACCCUAAAACUUUUUCCACUAAUAAAACCCAUCUAAUAAAAUCCAAAAACAGUGCCUAUUAUCUUGUCAGAAAAGGGGAAUAUAUCCAAAAGAAGAAGAAAAAAACUGAUCAAACCAUCGGAAGAAAGAGUAAUUUAGUUAAGCAUUUUUUUUUUUUAAUUUCAGGGAACAUCUGUGAAAUUUUCCAGAACUCUCAGCAAGUAUUUUGGAUUGAGAAAGAGAAGAUUGUUUUUUGUUUUUCAUUUGUCUUUCUUUGGUCAAACCAUUAAUACAUACAAUCAGACACCUAUACAUUAACCACACUUCUACACCUACCAUAGCACACCAUACAAGUGUCAACAUUAUGUCUUUCCUUGCUCUGGUUCACUCUUCAUAUUACAUGUAUAGGUUCAAAAAGUAAUACAGAAGACUAAAGAUCCCAUGAUUCUAAGUAUUUCCAAAAAGAUUUACAGCAGUGUUUUCAAUUGCUAAUUAUUGCUGAUUUAACCAUAGGUUAAGGGCAUCACCAGUGCUGAUGAGGUUGUGGAUAAAAGGGAAACCUAAUACAUUGUUGGUGGGAAUGAAAAUUAAUUUGCCAUUGUGGAGAAUAUGAAGGUUCUUCAAAAAAGUAAAAGCACAUGUCCCAUAUGAUACAGCUAUUGCACUUCUGGGAAUGAAUCCAAAGGAAUGAAAUUAGUCUAUCAAAGAGAUAGCCACACUCCAUGUUUAUUGUAGCACUCUUUAUAAUUACAAAGUUAUAAAAUUAAUCUAAAUGUUCAUUAUGGUGAAUGGAUAAGAAACUAUGGGAUAUAUACACCAUAGAAUAUUACAGAGCCAUAAAAAUUAAAUUCUGACAGUUGAAACAAAAAGGUGGAAUUCUAGAUCAUUUUAUAGAUACACAUUUGUGUGAACUUGUAUAUGUUUGUUAGUUGAUAUGAAUCUAAUUUAGUGAUUACUGGAGGCUGAGUAUGAUAAGGGGUUGGGAAAUGACCAGACAAUGUGUCCCAAAAUGGAGUCUGGUAGAGGUAAUGGAUUCUGGUGUCCACAAACGAGUAGAGCAACUACAGUCUGCAGUAAUGGAAAUGGAAGGGCUCAUUGCCUGGAGUGAUUGGUUUAUGCUAUAUGUAUCUGUUAAAAUAUUUCAUAAUAGUGCACAAAGUAUACAGGCAUUUUAUGUUAAUCCAAAAUUUUAAAAAUAAAUUUAAAAUAACCUUCAGAUCUUUACUGGUCUAAUUUUGCCCUUACUAUAUUCCUAAGUAAUGCACUAUCCUGAAUUGAAUUUUGUGUUUGGCAUUCUUAUGAAUUUGUAUUUAUAACAACUUAUGGGUAUGUCCACAUAUGAUGAAUAGGUUUGUUUUGUAUGAUUUCAAACUUUGUAUAAACAUAUGAUGCUAUAAUUUGUUUUGUUCCUAGUUUAAUAUAUCCCUUACCAUAACUUUGUUAAUAGAAUAUUUAUUUGUAACAAUUAUAGCUUUAUUUAACUGACUAUAUUUUCUGUAAGUAUUUAAUGAUGUGAUUAUUCAAAAAUAUAUGUAUUCAUUAUACUGUUGAUAGAUACAUAAUUGAUUCCUAUACAUAAAAUACAGUUAGUUAAGUAGAACUUCCUGAUGAGUCUUGGUUCUUUGUUUUUAAUCACCAUGAAUUAUUAUAAUUGGAAACAAAGAUUCCCUUGAAAAUCUAUCCCAAAUUAGCAUGUUAUCAUUUUUUCAAACUCCAUAUAUAAUUAAGAAGUCUCAUAAUUAUUCUUUUCUCAAGCAGAUUUUGGAUUUUGUCUUCCCCUUUUGUAUGCAGAAGUUUAAUCUUCAUUGCCACACAGUUAUCAAAUUAUUGGAUUCAUAUCUUAUUUCUGGUCUUGGUGCCCCCUGAACCUAGGAUUUUCUCAUGGGUCAUCAAUACCUGUUCCCCUUUAAGUCUCAUCUUUCAUUGAAUUUUCCACUUUACAUUUUAGUGCUACUAAAAUAUAUCUGAUCAUGCACAUGAUUUCCUACAUGCCAUCACUAAAUAUUAUAUGCAAAUUUUGAUCUUAUUCCUGAAGAUUAAAAAUUAUUAUGGAAUAGUUUAAGGACUAAGUAAACUCUUUUAAAAGGGAACCAUUGUCAUUUUUUUCUUGACUGUUCCAUUGUUCUAGUACUCAGUUUUUUCCAUUGUGCCAUCUCGCUCUCUGGUACAUUUUGUGGUGCCUUUUUCUGGUGGCUACUGGGAGAUGAAGAAUUAAAUAAUAUAUACCACUUAGUGAAUAUUUAAAAAUAUUUUUCCAUUUAGUUUACUAGACUGUCUUUAAAUAUUAGAUCAGACUUAUGUGAACCCUAAAAUUACAGUGCAUCUUGUUUGUACAAAGGGUACUGAAAUAUAUAUAAAUUUUAAAACAAAAUAUUUGGUCAUCCCUCGGAGACAUUCCAAAAUUCCCACAAGAUUUAGCCCUUAGGAAAUCAAACCACUGUGACAACAAACCAAGGUACUGUUGCUUCAGAUGACCCAGUUUUCUUGUGGAGUCAUGGCUUCUCCAAAUGAUGAAAAUAGAUAAUGUCACUUGUCAAUUAAAAACACAUUUUAUGGAAUCAUAUAGAAUAUCACAUCAAAACCUGACAUGUUAACUUUGAGGUUCUAGUGAUCUAAACUGUUUUUUUCUAAAUGAAGAAAAAAUAUUCUUUGGGACAGAGUGACUGUGAAAAAUCUACCAUAAAACAUAUAUCCCUUCUGUUCAUAGAGAGUAAAGAACAAUAGUUCUAAAUUGUGUUUUUCCAUUGACCUCCCUAUUGUUGCUGUGGAUUCGUUCUGAGAGGAGGAGCGUGGUGGGGGCAAGAGGUGCAGAGUCACCACACAGACCCCAGCAGCCGGGUGAAAGCAGACCAGAGGCAAGCAGCCUGCAGACUCAUUUAUUUCAGUUGGUACAGCAACUUAAAUAGCCAAGGCAGCCAAUCCGGUCAAGGGGCGGUCUAUGCCCUAACCAAUCAUAGCCUGUUGCCAGGCAGUUUCCGUUGCCAGCUGCCAUCUUGGCAUGGCCAUCUCAUUCCACCACACUCUAUAAUUUAUAAUAAUUUACAAUGUGAGCAUUUGUUAAGUGUGUAAUAGUUGAUCCUGUGCUAAUUCUUUUCAUGUAUUACUUAAUUUUCCAAACAAACCAUUGAGUUGCACAUGAUAUUUAUUUCUUGUUUAGAUAUGAGAGUACUGAAGGUCAGAGAAUGAAUUACUUAGCUAUGAAUGUGCCUAGAUUGUAUUUUUUUAAAGCUUCAUUUUCUUUUUCUUUUUUUAAAGAUUUAUUUAUUUGAAUGUCAGAGUUACACAGAUAGCAGAGAGGCAGAAAGAGAGAGAAAGAGAGAGAGAAAGAAAGAGAGAGAGAGAGGGAGAGGUCUUCCAUCCAAUAGUUCACUCCCCAGUUGGCCACUUGGCCAGAGCUGUGCUGACCCAAAGCCAGGAGCCAGGAGCCAGGAGUUAGGAGCCAGGAGUUUCUUCUGGGUCUCCAAAGCGGGUGCAGGGGCCCAAGGACUUGGGCCAUCUUUUGCUGCUUUCCCAGGACACAGUAGAGAGCUGGAUUGGAAGUGAAGCAGCCGGGUUUCAAACCAGCGCCUAUAUGGCAUGCCAGCACUUCAGGCCAGGGUGUUAAUCCCCGCGGAGAUUAUAUAUUAUACAUGUAAUUCUUAACUUCAUUUUCUUUGAGUCUAACCAUUUUUCUAAAUUGUUUCCCAAUAACUUAAUUUAUUUAGGUUAGGUACAGAAUAAAUGUAGUGAUACACAACUUUUCACCAUUCAGAUUAAUGGGACCAAAUUUAAAAAGCAGAGCUUGAACUCAGGAAGUUCUCAAAAACUAAUGGAAAGGCCGGUGCCACGGCUCAAUAGGCUAAUCCUCCGCCUGCGGCGCCGGCACCCCAGGUUCUAGUCCCGGUCGGGGCACUGGAUUCUGUCCUGGUUGCUCCUCUUCCAGUCCGGCUCUCUGCUGUUGCCUGGGAAGGCAGUGGAGGAUGGCCCAGGUCCUUGGGCCCUGCACCCGCAUGGGAGACCAGGAGGAAACACCUGGCUCCUGGCUUCGGAUCAGCGCAGUGCACCGGCCAGUGGAUACCAGCCACUUGGGGGGUGAACCAACGAAAAGGAAGACCUUUCUCUCUGUCUCUCUCACUGUCUAACUCUGC